rnacentral:rRNA from 1 species
UGAGGAGCGAAAGCAUGGGGAGCGAACAGGAUUAGAUACCCUGGUAGUCCAUGCCGUAAACGUUGGGAACUAGAUGUGGGGACCAUUCCACGGUCUCCGUGUCGCAGCUAACGCAUUAAGUUCCCCGCCUGGGGAGUACGGCCGCAAGGCUAAAACUCAAAGGAAUUGACGGGGGCCCGCACAAGCGGCGGAGCAUGCGGAUUAAUUCGAUGCAACGCGAAGAACCUUACCAAGGCUUGACAUAUAGAGGAAACGUCUGGAAACAGUCGCCCCGCAAGGUCUCUAUACAGGUGGUGCAUGGUUGUCGUCAGCUCGUGUCGUGAGAUGUUGGGUUAAGUCCCGCAACGAGCGCAACCCUCGUCCUAUGUUGCCAGCACGUAAUGGUGGGAACUCAUGGGAUACUGCCGGGGUCAACUCGGAGGAAGGUGGGGAUGACGUCAAAUCAUCAUGCCCCUCUAUGUCUUGGGCUUCACGCAUGCUACAAUGGCCGGUACAAAGGGCUGCAAUACCGCAAGGUGGAGCGAAUCCCAMAAAGCCGGUYUCAGUUCGGAUUGAGGUMUGCAACUMGACCUCAUGAAGUMGGAGUCGCUAGUAAUCGCAGAUCAGCAACGYUGCGGUGAAUACGUUCCCGGGCCUYGUACACACCGCCCGUCAAGUCAUGAAAGUCGGUAACACCCGAAGCCAGU